rnacentral:rRNA from 1 species
UUCCGUAGGUGAACCUGCGGAAGGAUCAUUACCGAGUGCGGGCCCUCUGGGUCCAACCUCCCAUCCGUGUCUAUCUGUACCCUGUUGCUUCGGCGUGGCCACGGCCCGCCGAAGACUAACAUUUGAACACUGUCUGAAGUUUGCAGUCUGAGUUUUUAGUUAAACAAUAAUUAAAACUUUCAACAACGGAUCUCUUGGUUCCGGCAUCGAUGAAGAACGCAGCGAAAUGCGAUAAUUAAUGUGAAUUGCAGAAUUCAGUGAAUCAUCGAGUCUUUGAACGCACAUUGCGCCCCCUGGUAUUCCGGGGGGCAUGCCUGUCCGAGCGUCAUUGCUGCCCUCAAGCACGGCUUGUGUGUUGGGCUUCCGUCCCUGGUAACGGGGACGGGCCCAAAAGGCAGUGGCGGCACCAUGUCUGGUCCUCGAGCGUAUGGGGCUUUGUCACCCGCUCCCGUAGGUCCAGCUGGCAGCUAGCCUCGCAACCAAUCUUUUUAACCAGGUUGACCUCGGAUCAGGUAGGGAUACCCGCUGAACUUAAGCAUAUCAAUAAGCGGAGGAA